rnacentral:rRNA from 1 species
UACGUAGGUGACCAGCGUUGUCCGGAUUUACUGGGCGUAAAGAGCGCGCAGGCGGUCGUUCAAGUCGAGUGUGAAAGCCCCCGGCUCAACUGGGGAGGGUCAUUCGAUACUGAUCGACUCGAAGGCAGGAGAGGUAAGUGGAAUUCCUAGUGUAGCGGUGAAAUGCGUAGAGAUUAGGAAGAACACCAGUGGCGAAGGCGACUUACUGGACUGUAACUGACGCUGAGGCAUGAAAGCGUGGGGAGCAAACAGG